rnacentral:rRNA from 1 species
GAUGAACGCUGGCGGCGUGCCUAAUACAUGCAAGUCGAGCGAACGGACGAGAAGCUUGCUUUUCUGAUGUUAGCGGCGGACGGGUGAGUAACACGUGGAUAACCUACCUAUAAGACUGGGAUAACUUCGGGAAACCGGAGCUAAUACCGGAUAAUAUUUUGAACCGCAUGGUUCAAAAGUGAAAGACGGUCUUGCUGUCACUUAUAGAUGGAUCCGCGCUGCAUUAGCUAGUUGGUAAGGUAACGGCUUACCAAGGCAACGAUGCAUAUCCGACCUGAGAGGCUGAUCGGCCACGCUGGAACUGAGACACGGUCCAGACUCCUACGGGAGGCAGCAGUAGGGAAUCUUCCGCAGCGGGCGAAAGCCUGACGGAGCAACGCCGCGUGAGUGCUGAAGGUCUUCGGAUCGUAAAACUCUGUUAUUAGGGAAGAACAUAUGUGUAAGUAACUGUGCACAUCUUGACGGUACCUAAUCAGAAAGCCACGGCUAACUACGUG